rnacentral:rRNA from 1 species
UACAGAGGGGGCAAGCGUUGUUCGGAAUUACUGGGCGUAAAGGGCGCGUAGGCGGCCUUCUAAGUCGAACGUGAAAUCCCUGGGCUCAACCCAGGAACUGCGUCCGAUACUGGAAGGCUUGAGUCCGGGAGAGGGAUGCGGAAUUCCAGGUGUAGCGGUGAAAUGCGUAGAUAUCUGGAGGAACACCGGUGGCGAAGGCGGCAUCCUGGACCGGUAUUGACGCUGAGGCGCGAAAGCUAGGGGAGCAAACGGG